ensembl:ncRNA T21D9.6 ncRNA
CGUCCUUCUUCUUCUUCUUCGUCUUUCAACGACGACGGCAGUGCACAAAACAAUUGACUGGAGGCUCCUGAAGGGAAGAAGGCGGCGCCCAUCGUGUCGCUCCCUUUCUUCCCGUCAAGCACAAGGAAAC